CCCGCUGAACUUAAGCAUAUCAGUAAGCGGAGGAAAAGAAACUAACUAGGAUUGCCCCAGUAGCGGCGAGUGAACAGGCAAAAGCUCAAAGUGAAAAUCCAUGGCACAAAGUUAUGGAAUUGUAAUCUAGAGAGGCGUUCGGAGGUGAUCGGUCGUGGCAUAAGUUCCUUGGAACAGGACGCCAUAGAGGGUGAAAACCCCGUAGUCGGCUACGACUCGGAACCAACGAACGUUUUCGAAGAGUCGGGUUGUUUGGGAUUGCAGCCCUAAAUUGGAGAUAAACUUCUUCUAAAGCUAAAUAUUUAUGGGAAACCGAUAGCGAACAAGUACUGCGAAGGAAAGGUGAAAAGAACUUUGAAAAGAGGGUUAAAAGACUUGAAAUCGUUGAGAAGGAAGUGGUAGAAGAGAAAUCAUUUGUGUACGAUGUAAGCGUGUGCUUGCCAACUUAGUAACGGUUUAGUACUUCAUAGGCUGUCUGUUACUAAAGUAAUGGCUUGUUGCGUGGUUUUCGUAUGCAAGAGGCAAAAUGAAGUUGGACGUCGGGAGUCGUCUGUUCAGAAGACCCUAGUAUUUAUAUUAGGAGCUGGGCAGUAAAACCGAGGUUUAGCUUGAGGGGCCUGCGGGCGAUUUUGCCAAAGUGGCUUCUACUGUCCCGUCUUGAAACACGG
rnacentral:rRNA from 1 species